rnacentral:precursor_RNA from 15 species
UUAAAUACUUCAGAUACUCUAAUGACAAGCUGGAAUGUAGUUGAGGUUAGUAAAAGCACUAUACUUGUUACAAACCUUGCCACGUUCCGACUUGUCAAAAGAGUCACAAAACUACAGCAGG